UAAGGAAUAUUGGUCAAUGGACGCAAGUCUGAACCAGCCAUGCCGCGUGGAGGAUGAAGGUCCUCUGGAUUGUAAACUUCUUUUAUCUGGGAAGAAACCCACGAAUUCUUUUGUGGUUGACGGUACCAGAUGAAUAAGCACCGGCUAACUCCGUGCCAGCAGCCGCGGUAAUACGGAGGGUGCAAGCGUUAUCCGGAUUCACUGGGUUUAAAGGGUGCGUAGGUGGGCAGGUAAGUCAGUGGUGAAAUCUCCGGGCUUAACUCGGAAACUGCCAUUGAUACUAUCUGUCUUGAAUACCGUGGAGGUCAGCGGAAUAUGUCAUGUAGCGGUGAAAUGCUUAGAUAUGACAUAGAACACCAAUUGCGAAGGCAGCUGGCUACACGAAUAUUGACACUGAUGCACGAAAGCGUGGGGAUCAAACAGGAUUAGAUACCCUGGUAGUCCACGCCCUAAACGAUGGAUACUCGACAUACGCGAUACACAGUGUGUGUCUGAGCGAAAGCAUUGAGUAUCCCACCUGGGAAGUACGAUCGCAAGAUUGA
rnacentral:rRNA from 1 species